AUUCGUCAGCGACCUCGGAACAUCCGAGCCUUUCCUAGAAUGAUGAAGUAAAGAGCCAUCUGCUCCAUCAGGUAUCCCAAUCGAGCUUCAGCCGAUGGAUCCAAACUCUCUGACAAGUCACGACAAGAGCCACCCUCCUGUCCCACUCUCUGCAAUGGAUUUCAUGCAGCUCCACCACUCUCUGGCAAGUCCCGACAACGGACACCACUCCACUCUCCGCAACAAGCUCCACGUGGCCCUGAACGACCCCUGACGCCACUACUUUCUGUAACAAACUCCAUGCGGCUCUGAGCGGUUCACUACCAGAUGGUUACAGACGUCACUGUCGGUCAGUUACACUCUCCGUCUAUAAAUAAGGACCCCC
rnacentral:lncRNA from 1 species